CGUUAAGUUACACUAUUUUAAUUCAAGAACGACCAAGUUCUUUUUAAGCUUUUUAACACCCGGAAAAUUCUCUAGCAGAAAGCCAGGAAUCAGGCAGCUAGUGUGGGAGGCCGACAGCACACAUGUUUGGAUCCGUUAAUCGUCAACGUUUUGAAGCUCCUCAGUUGUUCCAGGAAGCCGGGGUUGGGGGAGGAGGCGGGCCGAGCUGAUCUGACCAACGAGAGCGCGGCGUCAAAAGACUGGCCUUCACAGGACAUCAGGAAGCCAAUGACCACAGCCGGGGCCCGUGACACGCCGGCAUUGCAGUGGACCAACACUACGCCUUUCUGAGGGAGAAGCAGAAGUAAACGCUAAUAUUAAAGCUGCAUUAAUUGAUUUCAUUUACCACAACUAAUAAAGUUGCUGUAGCAAACAUCCAGCAGACACGGAGCAACAUGAA